CUUGUUGGAAGCUUGCUUCCAACUUGGCCUAGCGGCGGACGGGUGAGUAAAGCCUAGGAAUCUGCCUGGUAGUGGGGGAUAACGCUCGGAAACGGACGCUAAUACCGCAUACGUCCUACGGGAGAAAGCAGGGGACCUUCGGGCCUUGCGCUAUCAGAUGAGCCUAGGUCGGAUUAGCUAGUUGGUGAGGUAAUGGCUCACCAAGGCGACGAUCCGUAACUGGUCUGAGAGGAUGAUCAGUCACACUGGAACUGAGACACGGUCCAGACUCCUACGGGAGGCAGCAGUGGGGAAUAUUGGACAAUGGGCGAAAGCCUGAUCCAGCCAUGCCGCGUGUGUGAAGAAGGUCUUCGGAUUGUAAAGCACUUUAAGUUGGGAGGAAGGGCAUUAACCUAAUACGUUAGUGUUUUGACGUUACCGACAGAAUAAGCACCGGCUAACUCUGUGCCAGCAGCCGCGGUAAUACAGAGGGUGCAAGCGUUAAUCGGAAUUACUGGGCGUAAAGCGCGCGUAGGUGGUUCGUUAAGUUGGAUGUGAAAUCCCCGGGCUCAACCUGGGAACUGCAUUCAAAACUGUCGAGCUAGAG
rnacentral:rRNA from 1 species